CUCAUCGAUUCUGUCGGUUUGUUGCCUAAGUCUUUCGAUAGGGCCCUCCUAUGGCUUCCAUUCUCCACCUCCUCCAUUCACUCUGCCAGCCGCAGUCGGUUCCCCACUCCCCAGUAAUACGCUUCCCUCCAUUAGCAUUUCUGGCAUUUAGUUUGCUGUUAUUGAUAGCACAUUUCAUACGGAUCGAUUAUAAAUUGUUUUCAUCUGAUUUGCAUUUUCCACAGCCAGCGGCAUAAUAGACCCUCGUAAUUUUAUGGUAAUUCUAGUGGAAAACCAUUUAUAGUUAUUUGUAGCAAUUUAAGUUACUGUAG
rnacentral:lncRNA from 1 species